ensembl:ncRNA C15A7.5 ncRNA
CCACAAAAGAAGUGGAAAACGAAUAGUGUACAGCUUCUGAGAACGCAAGCAACAGCUGAUCAUCGUGGCUCACUGUAACAGCGCACUUCAAAUAAGGAACAUACAAGACUCGCG